GUAGUUCCCCGGCUGGAUGCGGUGACUGGUGCCAGUGCUCAGGCGCCCGCUGCCCUUGACCUCCCGCCCCGCGAGCCCUAACUCAGCGCAGGAGGACCGGCUGCCGCCGCCGCCGCCGCCAGAUCCACACAACUUAAAGAUCUGCUGUCGAGUGAAUGGGGAAGUGGUCCAGAGCAGCAACACCAACCAGAUGGUAUUCAAGACAGAGGACCUGAUAGCCUGGGUGUCCCAGUGAGUGACAGGGGCUAUCCUGCCAGCCCCGCUCCACCUGCCACACAUGUGGAGGCUGACCUGAGCCCUCCACCUUUGGCUGUGGCCACCUCAGCCAGCCCCUGGUCUCACCGGGUCCUUUUGCUUUGCUCCAGGUUUGUUACCUUUUACCCAGGGGAUGUCAUCCUGACUGGGACCCCCCCACCUCCACCCAGGUGUCGGUGUAUUCAGGAAACCUCCUGUCUUUCUCAAGAAGGGGGAUGAAGUCCAGUGUGAGAUUGAAGAACUAGGUGUCAUCAUCAACAAGGUGGUGUGAUGGCUCCUGCACAGGCCCUGCACAUAGGAUGAGGGCAUCUGCUCCCACUCAGCCUAGCCCAGGGAAAGGCCCAGUGACAGGUGUGGACAGGUGCCAGCCCUGCAAGCCGCCUCUUCUCGGUAGAAGGGAGAAGGACAGAGCUCUCUUCAAUAAAUUCGUCGGGUCAAAGCAGCA
rnacentral:lncRNA from 1 species